AAGGGCGAGCUACCCACGCAAUGGGAGUGCGAAUCUCGAAAGCCUGUCUCAGUUCGGAUUGGAGGCUGAAACCCGCCUCCAUGAAGUUGGAUUCGCUAGUAAUCGCGCAUCAGCCAUGGCGCGGUGAAUACGUUCCCGGGCCUUGUACACACCGCCCGUCAAGCCAUGGGAGCCGGGGGGUGCCUGAAGUUCGUGACCGCAAGGAGCGACCUAGGGCAAAACUGGUGACUGGGGCUAAGUCGUAACAAGGUAGC
rnacentral:rRNA from 1 species